UCUGCUCAGUUAGAGAUAUUAUUUUCUUUAUUUUUUCUUUUAUCCUUGAGGUUGGCUCACAUGUGUGUCCACUAUCCUUGAACUAUGAUUUACCCCUGUCUAUGUUAUGUUUACCUAUGCAUUCAUAAGUAAUCAUGUUUUUACCAAAGCUAGAUGCAUUCGUCCUGCCUUCCUACGGGAAUUAUAAAUAAGGAUACGCACUCAUGGGUUAAAAUGCUACAAUGAUAGUUUCGUGCGCUUGUGGAUUUAUCCUUAUUGAACUAUCGAUUGGUGUACCUAAGUACCGUACUUAAGAUUGUAAUCCUCGUGUACGACCCAACGGCGCCGUGCCACAGUAUUGCAUAUCGCAAGUAAGGAUGGUUAGGAAGGCCGAUCUGGUAGUUCUAAUCAUCAGUACCAGACUGCAUUACUUAGGUCGGAGUCGUACGGGCCGAGAGUUACCUUUCUAACUUAAUGGUGGUUAGGAAUGUCAAUCCCAACAUUUCUAGUGCCGUUGCUAAGGAUGGAUUUAUAGUCUAUCUUUAGUAGUGACGCUAAGAAAUGUCAACAGACUCCGAGCCUAUCUACAUAGGACAAGGUAGAUAAACACGUGGUGAUAUCAAGGAGUAAAUGUGCAUCAACUCCUAUCACUUAAAUGUAGCAUAGUAAAAUAAUUAUGAUAUAACAAAUUAAGUUAGCGAGAAUAGAGAGACUUAGAAUGCUCUAGGCUUGCCUCUCUCGAAGGUGCUAGGCCUGUGGUCCGGGCACUCCUGUAGAUCUCCUUCCGGCUCUGGUCCUUCCGAAAGCUCCUGCUCCUCGGGUCCCACCUCGUUCUUCUGCGAGCCUGUAUGAUGCAUAUGUGCUCAUGAGUGGAGUGCAAGAUGCCCGAGGUGCAAUGCUUAUGCAGGUUAAUACAAGAUGAUCAUGACAUGAUGCAU
rnacentral:lncRNA from 1 species